rnacentral:rRNA from 1 species
AACGAACGCUGGCGGCAUGCCUAACACAUGCAAGUCGAACGAGACCUUCGGGUCUAGUGGCGCACGGGUGCGUAACGCGUGGGAAUCUGCCCUUAGGUUCGGAAUAACUCAGAGAAAUUUGAGCUAAUACCGGAUGAUGACGUAAGUCCAAAGAUUUAUCGCCUAAGGAUGAGCCCGCGUAGGAUUAGCUAGUUGGUGUGGUAAAAGCGCACCAAGGCGACGAUCCUUAGCUGGUCUGAGAGGAUGAUCAGCCACACUGGGACUGAGACACGGCCCAGACUCCUACGGGAGGCAGCAGUGGGGAAUAUUGGACAAUGGGCGAAAGCCUGAUCCAGCAAUGCCGCGUGAGUGAUGAAGGCCUUAGGGUUGUAAAGCUCUUUUACCCGGGAUGAUAAUGACAGUACCGGGAGAAUAAGCUCCGGCUAACUCCGUGCCAGCCGCCGCAGUAAUAC